GGGCUUGUAGUUCAAUGGUAGAACGCCUGUUUUGCAUACAGGAGGUUGAGGGUUCGAUUCCCUCCAAGUCCA
rnacentral:tRNA from 5 species